rnacentral:lncRNA from 1 species
CACUCGUAAGGUUUCUUUUUGGUCUGGAGCUAUAGAAGAAGCCACUUACCCAAGGUACCAUCCAUGCAAUGGGACUGAACCUAAAACCACAUGAUUGGGAAGCAAACUGCUUAAUCACACAGCCAUACCCAUAUCAAAAAAUCUUCUCUGCUGUAAUUCAAUGUUGAAGAAUUAUUAAAUCAAACCAAUACCAUCUGGUAGUUAUCUUGUCUGUCAAUAACUUCCAGAACAGACAAAAAAUCCAGUCCUGUGUAGAAUUAUGCUACACAAGAAGUUAAAGAGUUAAGCAUGGCUAAAGUAAAACAUGGCACAGGAAAUUAAUAUAGUGUGUUUAUGCAAAAGAAGCCAAAGAGAUAGAAGGAAAAAUUAAGUGUCUUUGGUUACAAAAAUCUGGAAGCAAUGGGAAAAUUUGAUUAUCAGAUCUGAAUUCAGCAUCACCGAUAUGGCAAGAAAUAGUAUUCUCAGGUUUGUAAGAGAAAAUAAAACAAAUUGAAAUUU